AAGGAUCAUUACCAAAAUCCACAACCGACACCGAUGUGAACCCACACGUAUUUGUCCUGGCCCCCUGUGCGAGAGCGCGGGGGGCCAUGGUCAACACCCAUCAACCCCUUUUAUUGAACCUUGCAUCUCAACUUAACAAUUAAAAAAUAAUUUAAAACAACUUUUAGCGGUGGAUCUCUCGGCUCGU
rnacentral:misc_RNA from 1 species